AAUUAAUGAACUUGUAAAGUAUUUGUUUUGAAAACUUAAAAAAGAAUUUAAAAAUAUUCUAUUAAUUU
rnacentral:tRNA from 1 species